rnacentral:tRNA from 1 species
CUCUGGGUAGUGCAAAUGGUUAACAUGUUUGGCCGCUAACCAGAAGGUUGGAGGUUCAAGUCCACCCAGAGG